rnacentral:pre_miRNA from 1 species
CAACUACUCCCUCUAUCCCAAAUUUCUUGUCUUAGAUUUGUCUAGAUACGGAUGUAUCUAAUACUAAAAUGUGACUUGAUACAUCCUUAUCUAGACAAAUCUAAGACAAGAAUUUUGGGACAGAGGAGUACUUU